rnacentral:miRNA from 1 species
UAGUGUGACCAAUGGUUCUGUUUUGCCUGGGACUGAGGGAGCUCCUGGGACAGGGCACUCAGUUUUAAAACCAUGGCAGUC